AUCCAAGCAACGAAGUCACGAUAGGUAGCUAUCACCAGCAAUCACUGCAGAAGUAAAGUCUGAGGCUACCCUCACAUUUGGUAGAGAGGCACAAGAGCACAACAUAUGAAGCAACAUGCUGCUCUCUGACAGCUUCCACUUCAGCAGACGAGGAGAGAGGGCAGCGGUUCUUGCACUUCUGUCAUUUGCUGACGGACCAGAAGAAUGUGAACCUGCCCAUCUGAUUUCGGAUUCUGUAUAUGAAAUGUUGAACUGGAGCAAAAUCAAAAUUGAAAUCCCCUGUGUGGAAAAACAGGUGAGGAAAAGGUUGGUUACAUUUGAGAGGGGAGAUGCAUCUCUUGUAUGUUCUACAGAUAGUGUGUGAUAACAUUAAUUUGGAACAAGGUGUAUCUUUCUUUACUGUUGGCUUACGUUAACAAAUGCAUUAUAAUGUCAUGACCCCUUGCGUCUGAGCUGGCGUCUAGUUGAACAU
rnacentral:lncRNA from 1 species